rnacentral:rRNA from 1 species
UACGGAGGGAGCUAGCGUUGUUCGGAAUUACUGGGCGUAAAGCGCACGUAGGCGGCUUUGUAAGUUAGAGGUGAAAGCCCGGGGCUCAACUCCGGAACUGCCUUUAAGACUGCAUCGCUUGAAUCCAGGAGAGGUGAGUGGAAUUCCGAGUGUAGAGGUGAAAUUCGUAGAUAUUAGGAAGAACACCAGUGGCGAAAGCGACUUCCUGGACGAAUACUGACGCUCAUGUGCGAAAAGCGUGGGGAGCAAACAGG